rnacentral:lncRNA from 1 species
AAACAAUCAUCAAACUAGAUUAUAGAACAUCAAAGACUUCGGCCAUUUAAUCAGGCAUUUUGUCAAACACUUAAGACGCAGUAACUAGGGGGUAAACAUAGAUUCGAUCGGGGCUCGGGUUCAGGCCAAGAUCAUCACAUGAUUCACAAACGCUAUUCUGGAUCGACUCGGGAACAAGUUUAUCAGCAUAUACCUUGAGUUUAAACCAAAAUGACAAGUCUCGGCCAUAACACCAAACACAAACAGAUAUUUGCAUUAAGCACUACAAAAAGCACACGUAUGCUGUGGGAGGAAUGAACACGAGCACAACGGAGUUUCGGGCGGGGAUCGGGACUGAAGCUCGUGCGAACUGGUCGACCACAAGCUUCAGCCCGACGCCCCACCAAAACAGGGCAGACGUACUCGGGAAUGACCCACCUGGUUCAAAGGGGAGCGCCGCGGUGGACGACGACUCUCGGGCAGACGACCGGUGACGGCGAAGCUGUCCUUCAGUCUUGCUCUCUCCCUUUAGCUCGUCCUCUACCCUCUCGAGCUCUCUCUCCGGUCUCUCUCUUAAGCCCCUUGUUCUCUCUCCACCAACGAACCAGUCAAGACGCCCCCCCUUCCUUUUUUCUCCCCCCUUCCGGUUUUAUACUCGGCCGGCAAGCGCGCAUGGCCUCUGCGGCUGCCAGCUUGCCGGCCGAAUGCCUCCUUCGACCCGCGGAUCACGCCGCUCACCUGCCACACCGAUC